UCUGCCUCUUCUUUUGCUUGAGUCAACUUUGUGGUUGCAUCUUUGAGGCGCUCUUUGGAUUCCUUGUGAGAAUCCAUUUCUGUUUUUAAUUUGUUCUGAGCCCAUUUUACUUUGAUAACAUGAGAAUUGAUUUCCUCUUUCAAUUUUUCAAUUUCUUUGUUGAGUCGAGUGGCUUCAGCAUCCUUAGUUUCAUAGAGCUGGUGCAAUCUUCC
rnacentral:lncRNA from 1 species